CCCAUGAUCUCACGAUCUUUAAAACUACUAAUGUUUAAAAGUUUCGUCCAUUAACUGAUUGCAAUAUAUUUACUUCACCUCUACUUAAAUUCUUUGCCACAGUUCCAUUGAUUCUUUCUCAAAUUAAUGGUUUCAAUGAAAUGAGAAAAACAAAGCACAAAUUUGCUAUAGAUUGUUAGGCAGAACGUACUGCAAAGUUGGGAGAUGAAGUUAAAAUCAAGUUUUUCAUAUUGGCAAAAAUUACAUACUACAUGGUGAAAAAGUUCAGGGAAGAAGAAAUAUAGUCUCACCUUAAAGCAACGUGCAAAUGGAGUCUAAAAAACUCGGUGGUAGAGAAAACAAAAAAUAUUCCUUUUUUUUAUGUGUUUAUAAUCUUACAGAAAUGUGAUGAUAUUAUUUUUGUUUACUUUUGAAUCAAAAUAUAUACACUUUUGCUUUAUAUUUCUUAUUUGUAGAUGCUUGGAAACAAAAAAAAGGUCAGUCAGAGAAUUAUUUUUUUUGCAAUCUUCAAGAGAGAGAGAAAAUAUUUUCUCUAGAGUCUCUCUCAAUCCCCCACCGUCAAACCCUAUUUCCAUUCUUCAGUAAGCUCUUUCUCGCGGUGGUCGCUGAAGCUUCGUCUCCGGUCACCGCGUGGCUCGUACUCCGGUUUAAACGCUCCGCCUAAACCCCUUGCCUCAUCUUCUCGUCUCUCCUCCUUGUCUGGUGCGUCUGGGUUUUCUGGAUCUUCUCCAUCAAAUCAAACUGAAACCAAAGGUGUCUUUGGUCUCUCUGGAACACCAACGAGGCUUGGCUAGUCGGGGUAAGUUGUGGGUGCCUUGAAUAUACCUUUAGUCACCGAUUGCGCUUGGAUCUGGGUCAGAUCUGAGAUCUCAGAUUCGCCAGAAUGUACGACGCGUCGCCGCCGUCACCGCUUCUGUCUCACCGUCUCACCGUCUCAAUCCAGUCGGUCUCCUCUUCUGUGUAGCUCCAAGGUUUUUAUAGAGCUUCUCCUCUCUGUUUAGGGUGAAAGGUGGCUGAGAGGCGCACCACCGAGAACCUCUCUUCCAUAGUUCGAAAGACAUCAACCAUGGCGUAUCUAUGGUGGUCGAUUGGCUUCUUCUUACUGCUUUCGGCGUCGACCUAGGAUUUGAGGACAACCCUCUGUGUCGGUGCCUCUUGCUUUCGAGGAGGACCUAUCAGAUGCCGCAUAGGUCGUCUGUUCAAGGAGUGUCACUGCUUCUUCUGUCCUUCAAUUCCCUUCUUCCAAACCUCCAGCGAAUUGCUUUAUGUAACCUUGUUGUCUCCAUCGCAUCGUAUGUGUCGCGUAGCCGGAUGAGGAGCUGAAAUGACCGACUACGCUUGACCAUAACUUGUCCUUCACUUUCAGCGGAGUUGAUACGGGCCAACAUUUUUGUCGUCUGCUGCGAUAGCUUGGGUUUUGUUUCGUCGGCGUCCUCCUCCAGUGGAGCUCCGGGGUGUGGGCCUGACGCUCCGUCGAUGCCUGCUUGGAGCCACUUCGGUGAGUGUUCGAUUAAACUUGUCUUCAUGCUAUUCUCUUGCUUUCUAAUCAGUUCUCCAGAGCAAGAAGCGCUUAGGAUUGGGAGCUUAGUUUGCUGUCUUUUGUCCUUCAAUGUUUAUUAACUUCAAGCACCAAUGUCGGAAAGCUUGGACUUAAUCACCUAGGUUCUUUUGGGUUUUUUUAAAUUUUUUGCGGCCCUCAAGAUCCUGAUAAGCUGAGAAGCAGAUUUUGGUUUCAAUUGUAUUGUAACCAACUUUCAUUAUGUUUAAUGAUAUUUACAAGUUAGAAAAAAAAAAAAAGGUCAGCAAGUAUAGCAUUGAAAAUAUAUGCAUAAGAUAAGAAGGGGAAACCCAUAAAAUAUAUUAUUAUUAGUUAUGUUAUACUUG